AGCAGUAAGGUGUUUCCCUCU
rnacentral:miRNA from 1 species